rnacentral:rRNA from 1 species
GCCUCUGGGUCCACCUCCCACCCGUGUUUAUUGUACCUUGUUGCUUCGGUGCGCCCGCCUCACGGCCGCCGGGGGGCUUCUGCCCCCGGGUCCGCGCGCACCGGAGACACCAUUGAACUCUGUCUGAAGAUUGCAGUCUGAGCAUAAACUAAAUAAGUUAAAACUUUCAACAACGGAUCUCUUGGUUCCGGCAUCGAUGAAGAACGCAGCGAAAUGCGAUAACUAAUGUGAAUUGCAGAAUUCAGUGAAUCAUCGAGUCUUUGAACGCACAUUGCGCCCCCUGGUAUUCCGGGGGGCAUGCCUGUCCGAGCGUCAUUGCUGCCCUCAAGCACGGCUUGUGUGUUGGGCUCCGUCCCCCCGGGGACGGGCCCGAAAGGCAGCGGCGGCACCGAGUCCGGUCCUCGAGCGUAUGGGGCUUUGUCACCCGCUCUGUAGGCCCGGCCGGCGCCAGCCGACAACCCAUCAUCCUUUUCAGGUUGACCUCGGAUCAGGUAGGGAUACCCGCUGAACUUAAGCAUAUCAAUAAGCGGAGGA